rnacentral:lncRNA from 10 species
UUUCAGCAAACCUUCCAAGAGCAAAGGGGACACUUUCCCUUCACCCCUGCAGAAGACGUCUCCGAGGAAGUGAAACAUUGGUGGAUAUAUGAUAGAAAUCAUCAUGGUAAAGAAAGUAUUACAGUAAGACUGAAAACCAACCAUUUUGCCCAAGGGACAGACCCUCAGCUGUGACUCUGCACCUGAUCUCUGUGGCUUUGCUGAAAUGUAGCUUUAACCCUGGAGUACCCUAAAGGUGGCAGUUUUGAAAAUGUGGAUGGCACAGUCUCCUGCUGAC